CCGCCUGAGCCCGGAGGCCGCUGCUCGGCCGCACGUCCUCGCCCCUCCCGCCGCCAGCCCGCAGACAUGACCGCGAAGCCUCCUCCUGGGAUGGGAUUUGCUUGAAGAUUUUCUUCAUGGAAGCGAUGUCCCCCCAGCAGGAGACUCUAGGGGGGGCAGCCGGGGCGCUCCUCUUCCCUGACAGGAGUGUCUCUCAUCGCCGGAUGCCCCGGCACCAAGAAGAAGAAGGAACCUUCUAAAUCCAGCGUCAAGAAAAAAGUGACCAAAGUCGCAGAAGCAGAAAAAGUAAUGAAGAGAAAUUUUAAAGUGAACAAGAAAAUAACGUUUACCGAUGAA